rnacentral:rRNA from 1 species
UAAGGAGGAUACGAGCGUUAUCCGGAUUUAUUGGGUUUAAAGGGAGCGUAGGUGGAUUGUUAAGUCAGUUGUGAAAGUUUGCGGCUCAACCGUAAAAUUGCAGUUGAAACUGGCAGUCUUGAGUACAGUAGAGGUGGGCGGAAUUCGUGGUGUAGCGGUGAAAUGUGUAGAUAUCGGGAAGAACACCAAUGGCGAAGGCAGGUCUCUGGGCCGUUACUGACGCUGAGGAGCGAAAGCGUGGGGAGCGAACAGG